AUUCACCUGAAAUACUCUCUAAAUAUAUGGUAUUUCGUCAUAAAAAUGAUAUAAGUACCAAUUGGAAACUGGAAAUCGUCAUCCAAAUCCUGAUCAAGCGUUGCUAUUGGUACUUUACCCAUACCCUUCCAAGGAAAUGAUCUGAAAAUACCGAAGCAUAAGUUCAACGAAACUACAAAUAAAUGCAGAAGAAUUUUGCAUCUGUACAUACAUUGCUGUACUGUCAUCAGUAACAGUAAUUGUACUCGGCUGACUGACGGAAGGUUCUGAAAUGCCAAUGUAACUAUAUUGAGUGGGUGAUGCAUUGCAUGAUAAUUUUCCAGAUAAAUCACUAGAACUUUUAUUUAGAUUACAGCAGGCCUUGUCUGGCAGUAGUACUUCGGCUAAGGGAAAAUUAUGAGAUCCUGAAAAAAAAUAGUCAAUGAAAAAUAAUAGUUGACCAAAAUUCUGGUGAAAUUG